rnacentral:rRNA from 1 species
GGCAGGUCAGCAUACUGCCGUGAAUACGUUCCCGGGCCGUUGUACACACCGCCCGUCACACCAUGAGAGUUGGGGAUACCCGAAGCCUGUGAGCUAACUUUUAGAGGCAGCAGUCGAAGGUAGAAUCAAUGAUUGGGGUGAAGUCGUAACAAGGUACC